UACGUAGGGGGCUAGCGUUGUCCGGAAUCAUUGGGCGUAAAGCGCGUGUAGGCGGCCCGAUAAGUCCGCUGUGAAAGUCCAGGCUCAACCCUGGGAUGCCGGUGGAUACUGUCGGGCUCGAGUCCGGAAGAGGCGAGUGGAAUUCCUGGUGUAGCGGUGGAAUGCGCAGAUAUCAGGAGGAACACCGAUGGCGAAGGCAGGUCUCUGGGCCGAUACUGACGCUGAGGAGCGAAAGCGUGGGGAGCGAACAGG
rnacentral:rRNA from 1 species